ACAGGCUAGUAGCUAGCGGGAUAGGUUAGAAAGUGAAUUUCAGUUGGUUGUCAUAUACAAUUCCACCGCUAGAUGGGAGAAAUUCUUACACAAUGUAGCUUUAACAAUAAU